ACCAACAGAGACAAGUCAAAGCAUUAACCAAUCGAGAGGAAGCAAAGUCGAGACUUCCGUGUGGCUGUUGCGGAAGGAUUAUCCAACAUUUCUCUGAGACUUGCUUGAAGCCAUUGCAAACUCCCCCGGCCAGAAUCGAUUUCAAAUUGUCCUUUUCAUUAGUCGAAAAUAAAAAAAUGUAUUCUCUCUCUCUCUCUCUCUUCAUGUCUGCCACUCCUUUAUAUAAUUCCUCCUCUAUCUUCAGAAAUCCCAAGCCCAAAGCACCAUUCAUUCACAGCAGCAUAUUGAAGCAAUCAACAAGAAAAGCCCCCAAAAUGGGGAAAUGUAAGUCAUCAUUUCUGGUGUCCCUUCUACUGAUUCACGUCCUAGGUUUGUCACUGCUUCCUCGGCCCACACUAUCAAACGAGCUGAAUGAGUUCUCUCGUCAGCCUCCUCGCCCUGUCAUCUUCACUGCUCACGACCGCUCCAAAUCUCACCCUCAACAGGUGCACAUUUCGCUGGUGGGGCGAAACCACGUGGGGGUUACGUGGAUUACAGAGGACAAGCACGCACCGUCGACGGUGGAGUACGGCAGAGUGUCCGGGGAAUACAGCGAGAAGGCAAGGGGGCAUCACACUUCGUACCAAUAUUUUCUGUACAGUUCCGGUAAGAUCCACCACGUCAAAAUCGGACCUCUUGAGCCCAGCACCACUUACUUCUAUCGUUGCGGAGGGUCUGGCCCUGAAUUUUCCCUCAAGACUCCUCCGGCUGACUUCCCUAUCGAAUUUGUAGUCCUUGGUGACUUGGGUCAAACAGAAUGGACAGCAUCGACUUUAAAACACGCAGAUAGCAGAGACUACGACGUAUUUCUGUUACCGGGAGAUCUGUCGUAUGCGGAUACCCAUCAACCACUGUGGGACUCUUUUGGUCGUUUUGUGGAGCCCUAUGCCAGUCGACGGCCAUGGAUGGUGACGGAGGGCAACCACGAGAUCGAGUCCUUUCCCACCACUUACCCUGAUAGCUUCACGGCCUUCAAUGCUCGUUGGCCCAUGCCUUUCAAGGAAAGUGGCUCCGCCUCUAAUCUGUACUACGCUUUUGAGACUGCCGGUGCUCACAUUCUCAUGCUGGGUUCUUACACCGACUUCCAUGUUGAAUCUGACCAGUACAAGUGGCUUCAAGCUGACUUAGCCCUUGUUGAUCGGAUCAAGACCCCUUGGCUCAUCGCUCUCCUUCACGCACCCUGGUAUAACACUAAUACGGCUCAUCAAGGUGAAGGCGAGAGCAUGAGACAGGCCAUGGAAGACCUUCUUUAUAACGCCCGAGUUGACUUGGUUUUUGCCGGCCAUGUUCAUGCGUACGAACGCUUUACUCGAAUUUAUAACAAGAAGGCUGAUCCGUGCGGUCCCAUGUAUGUGACGAUUGGGGACGGAGGAAACCGGGAGGGACUUGCGUUAACGUUCAAGAGUCCAUCGAGCCCUCUGUCGUUGUAUCGGGAGCCGAGCUUUGGGCAUGGAAGGUUAAGGAUCCUGAACGGGACGCAUGCGCAUUGGUCAUGGCACCGCAACAACGACACUGAUGCGUUUGAAGCUGACAGUGUUUGGAUAAGUAGCUUAAGCAGCUCCAAAGCAUGUCGGAACCCCGCUCGUGAUGAACUCUGAUUAAGUAUUUCUGCUUCUCUUUCCAUCAAACUGAACACGGAAACUAAACUUCCAAUUAAUGAGAAAAUGAUUUAAAAAAAAAAAAAAAGACAUGAGUGACCUUACUAAAUGACCUGAUCAUAUCAUGCUAGCUCCUUGGUUCCUCAUACAUCUACAAAUCCUCCAAUUGAGUAGCUGAUGAAACAGGGCCUUGGGCCCUUGACAGCGAGUUGUGCAUAAAUUUGAAGGUUUACUUUCCUCUGAGCUUGGAUCCAAGUUACAAGUGACACACUCACUCGUCCAUUUAAAAUGAUGACAAGCGCAAACGAGGAAGACGAUAAGGUGACAUCCACACUCAUACUUGAAAAUACAAACACUCCUGAUCCGCACCGAAUUGGCGUUAGACAGAUCAACUCUAAAUGCUUCACAAUUCAACCACCCACUGGCUGGACCCGACAUCUCAAUUCCAAUCAAAACAAGAAAAGGCAAUUUUUCUUUCUCUCACAAAGCAAAGCCAUAAAUUCUCCCUCGACUCUUUCAACCCUCCUAGUUUCUUUAGAAGACGGGAACUUAAAAUCUCGUCUCAAGAAAUUAUUAAUCCUCCUAUCCAGCUUCCAAUGAUCAUGACAGAAGUUCGCUGUGGACGGUGCUGAUCAUUUUGUUCGCAUAUCUUAUCCUAGAUCGCCCUGGCCCCCGACAUCCUACGGUGCGCAUUAAAUCCUUUCGAGUUUCUCAACUUUGAUCAAAGGAUUUGCCAGAGUGAUUUCCUCUCGACCCACCCUCUUGAAAUCGAAGCCACACCCCUGCUUCUCCAAAUUCCUGUGGGUCCCACAAAAAGUGACACCACACUUGCACUUGAAGCCGAUCAACCUGACUCGAUUCCGGCAUGUAGCACAUCGGUUCGGUUGCGCGGCCGCCACUUCUGGCCUGAAGGAUGCAAUGGCUGAGCUCAACACAUCGGCUGAAACUUUCAGCAAUUUCAACGUUGGUGUAGGAGCGGGGGAGACUACGGCCGAUAACGGAGAUGAGCCAGGGGACAGCAGAGAAGCAGUGAAGGAAAGGGUUGUUUUGAUGGUGGAUUUGGUAGACGCUUCCUGUUACUCCUUCAAAUGGAAAUUCCUGUAGCACUUGGAACAAAGAUUCAUAGUGGCCGAGCUGUCAAAAAAGCCACAGUUGUUAGCACAGAAUUGGUGGCCUUCGGGAGCCUGGCAUCGGUGCUCUUCCACCAGAUUGUUCUCUUUUUGCAAAAUGUAUCUAAACUUCUCUAUUCCAUUUUAGCAUUGUAACGAUUUCGAUGAACACCAAGCUGCCUAUGUUUUCAUGUGAGUUUGCUAUCAAUAUUGUCCACCAAGUUCUUGUAA